rnacentral:rRNA from 1 species
GAUGAGACUCUGGGUCACCUCCCACCCGUGUUUAUUGUACCUUGUUGCUUCGGUGCGCCCGCCUCACGGCCGCCGGGGGGCUUCUGCCCCCGGGUCCGCGCGCACCGGAGACACCAUUGAACUCUGUCUGAAGAUUGCAGUCUGAGCAUAAACUAAAUAAGUUAAAACUUUCAACAACGGAUCUCUUGGUUCCGGCAUCGAUGAAGAACGCAGCGAAAUGCGAUAACUAAUGUGAAUUGCAGAAUUCAGUGAAUCAUCGAGUCUUUGAACGCACAUUGCGCCCCCUGGUAUUCCGGGGGGCAUGCCUGUCCGAGCGUCAUUGCUGCCCUCAAGCACGGCUUGUGUGUUGGGCUCCGUCCCCCCGGGGACGGGCCCGAAAGGCAGCGGCGGCACCGAGUCCGGUCCUCGAGCGUAUGGGGCUUUGUCACCCGCUCUGUAGGCCCGGCCGGCGCCAGCCGACAACCCAUCAUCCUUUUCAGGUUGACCUCGGAUCAGGUAGGGAUACCCGCUGAACUUAAGCAUAUCAAUAAGCGGAGGAA